AUGUCCUUGGAAACCCUCCAUAAGAGUAGAGGAGGCAAGUUCAAGAGAACUGAUAAGAAGGAUGUGGCUGCAAUAUUUGGAGCACAUGUUCGAGUUAUUCAAAGAAUAUGGGAGACGGCAAUGAAACAGAAAGGCCUUGGUCAGGAGGUGGAUGUUUCAAACAGAAGAAAGGAAAAUUGUGGAAGAAAAUCUUAUGAUGAUAUCCUAUCUCUCAUUCCGACAAUUCCCUUAAACAAGAGGUCAAUUAUUCGAUCUCUAGCCAAGGCACUGGGUGUAAGCCCUACUACACUAUACAAGAAGUUCAAGCUGAACAAGAUAAGGAGACACUCCAACAGGGUUAAGCCGGUACUGACAGAGAAAAAUAAGAGAGAUAGGGUGGAUUUUUGCCUCUCUAUGCUAGAUGAGGCAACAUUAGGAGAUGUAAGCCCAAGUUUCAGGAGUAUGCAUAAUAUUGUUCACAUCGACGAGAAAUGGUUCUCCAUGACCAAGAAAAAAAGGAACUACUAUCUGCUGCCUGACGAAGAGGACCCGGAAAGACCUGUCAAAAACUCUAUUGGAAAAGUGAUGUUUCUCACAGCGGUAGUAAGACCACGGUUUGAUGAAGAUGGGAACAUGACAUUCUCCGGAAAAAUUGGGGUAUGGCCAUUCGUGAGAGUGACUGCAGCAGCAAAAAGAAGCAAGAAUAGGGAAAAAGGGACAUUGGAAACAAAGCUUGUCAUAGUGACGAGGGAUGUGAUGAGAGAGUACAUUAUACAGAAGGUUGUGCCAGCGAUUCAAGCAUUGUGGCCUGCAGAUGAUGAUGGACGACCCAUUUUUAUCCAG
rnacentral:rRNA from 1 species